AACGAACGCUGGCGGCAGGCUUAACACAUGCAAGUCGAGCGCCCCGCAAGGGGAGCGGCAGACGGGUGAGUAACGCGUGGGUAUCUACCCAUCUCUACGGAAUAACGCAUGGAAACGUGUGCUAAUACCGUAUACGUCCUUCGGGAGAAAGAUUUAUCGGAGAUGGAUGGGCCCGCGUUGGAUUAGCUAGUUGGUGGGGUAAAGGCCUACCAAGGCGACGAUCCAUAGCUGGGCUGAGAGGAUGAUCAGCCACACUGGGACUGAGACACGGCCCAGACGCCUACGGGAGGCAGCAGUGGGGAAUAUUGGACAAUGGGCGCAAGCCUGAUCCAGCCAUGCCGCGUGAGUGAUGAAGGCCCUAGGGUUGUAAAGCUCUUUCACCGGUGAAGAUAAUGACGGUAACCGGAGAAGAAGCCCCGGCUAACUUCGUGCCAGCAGCCGCCGUAAAAC
rnacentral:rRNA from 1 species